GCCGGGGUAGCCUAGCCAGGGAAGGCGCGGGACUCGAGAUCCCGUGGGCGUUGCCCACCGGGGUUCAAAUCCCCGCCCCGGCGCCA
rnacentral:tRNA from 1 species